rnacentral:rRNA from 1 species
AUGGAGCCGACCUUGAAAUACCACCCUUUAAUGUUUGAUGUUCUAACGUUGGCCCGUAAUCCGGGUUGCGGACAGUGUCUGGUGGGUAGUUUGACUGGGGCGGUCUCCUCCUAAAGAGUAACGGAGGAGCACGAAGGUUGGCUAAUCCUGGUCGGACAUCAGGAGGUUAGUGCAAUGGCAUAAGCCAGCUUGACUGCGAGCGUGACGGCGCGAGCAGGUGCGAAAGCAGGUCAUAGUGAUCCGGUGGUUCUGAAUGGAAGGGCCAUCGCUCAACGGAUAAAAGGUACUCCGGGGAUAACAGGCUGAUACCGCCCAAGAGUUCAUAUCGACGGCGGUGUUUGGCACCUCGAUGUCGGCUCAUCACAUCCUGGGGCUGAAGUAGGUCCCAAGGGUAUGGCUGUUCGCCAUUUAAAGUGGUACGCGAGCUGGGUUUAGAACGUCGUGAGACAGUUCGGUCCCUAUCUGCCGUGGGCGCUGGAGAACUGAGGGGGGCUGCUCCUAGUACGAGAGGACCGGAGUGGACGCAUCACUGGUGUUCGGGUUGUCAUGCCAAUGGCACUGCCCGGUAGCUAAAUGCGGAAGAGAUAAGUGCUGAAAGCAUCUAAGCACGAAACUUGCCCCGAGAUGAGUUCUCCCUGAGACUUAGAGUCUCCUGAAGGAACGUUGAAGACGACGACGUUGAUAGGCCGGGUGUGUAAGCGCAGCGAUGCGUUGAGCUAACCGGUACUAAUGAACCGUGAGGCUUAACCUUACAACGCCGAAG